UACGGAGGGGGCUAGCGUUGUUCGGAAUUACUGGGCGUAAAGCGCACGUAGGCGGCUUUGUAAGUUAGAGGUGAAAGCCCGGGGCUCAACUCCGGAAUUGCCUUUAAGACUGCAUCGCUCGAAUUGUGGAGAGGUAAGUGGAAUUCCGAGUGUAGAGGUGAAAUUCGUAGAUAUUCGGAAGAACACCAGUGGCGAAGGCGGCUCACUGGCCCGAUACUGACGCUGAGGUGCGAAAGCGUGGGGAGCAAACAGG
rnacentral:rRNA from 1 species